rnacentral:rRNA from 1 species
GACGAACGCUGGCGGCGUGCCUAACACAUGCAAGUCGAACGGAGAAAGCAUUUAUGCUUUCUUAGUGGCGAACGGGUGAGUAACGCGUAGACAACCUACCUUCUAGAUGGGGGACAACACUGCGAAAGUGGUGCUAAUACCGAAUGUUGUAUUAAGGGUGCAUAUCCUAAAUACUAAAGGUGGCCUCUAUUUAUAAGCUAUCACUAGAAGAUGGGUCUGCGUCUGAUUAGCUAGUUGGUGAGGUAAUGGCUCACCAAGGCGACGAUCAGUAGCCGGUCUGAGAGGAUGAACGGCCACACUGGGACUGAGACACGGCCCAGACUCCUACGGGAGGCAG